UACGUAGGGUGCAAGCGUUGUCCGGAAUUAUUGGGCGUAAAGAGCUUGUAGGCGGUUUGUCGCGUCUGCUGUGAAAUUUCGGGGCUCAACCCCGAACUUGCAGUGGGUACGGGCAGACUAGAGUGUGGUAGGGGAGACUGGAAUUCCUGGUGUAGCGGUGAAAUGCGCAGAUAUCAGGAGGAACACCGAUGGCGAAGGCAGGUCUCUGGGCCAUAACUGGCGCUGAGAAGCGAAAGCGUGGGGAGCAAACAGG
rnacentral:rRNA from 1 species